UACGGGGGGGGCAAGCGUUGUUCGGAAUUACUGGGCGUAAAGGGCUCGUAGGCGGCCAACUAAGUCAGACGUGAAAUCCCUCGGCUUAACCGGGGAACUGCAUCUGAUACUGGAUGGCUUGAGUUCGGGAGAGGGAUGCAGAAUUCCAGGUGUAGCGGUGAAAUGCGCAGAUAUCGGGAGGAACACCUAUGGCGAAGGCAGCUCGCUGGGACGUUACUGACGCUGAGACGCGAAAGCGUGGGGAGCAAACAGG
rnacentral:rRNA from 1 species